rnacentral:lncRNA from 1 species
UCCACAGAUCCAGAUUUGAGAAGGAGUUUUAUGAUUCAGAUAUAUGAUUCGAUCAUAAAUAAAUUUUUAAUCUCUAAAAUUAGAUGCUUUAUGUCUUAUUUAUCAUUAUAUGAACUAGAUCAAUAGGUAUAAAAUUUUGAUCGAUACAUGUGUAGGAUUAAAACUGUUUUAAUCUUGACCUCUACUGCUUAAAUUCAAAAUUAUUUUGAAAUCUGUAUAUAAAAUAACUAAAAUCUAACAGUAGCAACAGAUUUAUAUGUAUGAGAAUAAGAUGAGAUCU